rnacentral:sRNA from 1 species
ACAUUCCAGGGGAGUUCAGCUAUUCUGUAGUGAAUUCUGCAGGGGCAUAAAUAACCAGAAAGAAAGCUACCACCAAUGUGCUCCCUCAGAAGGUUCCAGCGUUAGGCCUGAUCCAGGACAGAAGAAAUCCCAAGGCCUCCAGGCUAACAGCAUGGAUCUCGAAGAGAAUCACAGCUGUCCAUCAGCUAUCCUUAACUUCAUGCUUCUGAAAACUCUACUUUGACCUCCUGGUCCAUUCCCUACCUUCCACUCCUCCAGCUCAGGUCCACCUCCAGAGCUCCAUUAACUUUAGCCAGGAGACUGGGUCGUAGUCCAACCAGGCUGUCACUAGAGCCUCACUGAAAAGGUCCCUGUGCUACAGAGUUGCAGCAUGGAUCCACCACACAUGCAAUUGAAGAAGACCCUGGCCAGCAGGAGAAUUCAGCCUCAAGACUCCCUCCUUUCCCUCACUGAUUGGUCAUGCCCCAGGGACACCACAAAGACAUAGCCUUGUUACUGUUUUCAUGAAGAUUCAGGAAGCCCCAUGAUUGGGCUGUCUAGUCACCUAAGAAAGGGGGGAAUGAGGGACAAAAUCUUUUAAGUUCAGACUCCAUUUUAGAGAACCUGAUCUAGUUGAAAUCAGGUAAACUAACUGGUCAGAACCUAGCAUUAGUUUCCAGGUUACCCAACAAGACCUACUUCUCCAGGUUAACCCCCCCCAACAAAUCCAGUGUUUCCAGGUUAAUCCCCAACAAGCCCGCCCCCUACCUAACAACCACCAAGGCAGAGGAAAGCAGAAGUUAAGUUUGUGGUUUGACUCCCGGCCCCAGCCAAUUAUCUAAAAGCCACAGCAGCACUCCAAUUAGAUGCUUGUCAGGUGUGAUGGUUUGUAUAUGCUUGGCCCAGCAGUGGCACUAUUAGGAGAUGUAGCC